GACGAACGCUGGCGGCGUGCUUAACACAUGCGAGUCGAACGGAAAGGCCCUGCUUUUGUGGGGUGCUCGAGUGGCGAACGGGUGAGUAACACGUGAGUAACCUGCCCUUGACUUUGGGAUAACUUCAGGAAACUGGGGCUAAUACCGGAUAGGAGCUCCUGCUGCAUGGUGGGGGUUGGAAAGUUUCGGCGGUUGGGGAUGGACUCGCGGCUUAUCAGCUUGUUGGUGGGGUAGUGGCUUACCAAGGCUUUGACGGGUAGCCGGCCUGGGAGGGUGACCGGCCACAUUGGGACUGCGAUACGGCCCAGACUCCUACGGGAGGCAGCGGUGGGGAAUAUUGCGCAAUGGGCGGAAGCCUGAUGCAGCAACGCCGCGUGCGGGAUGACGGCCUUCGGGUUGUAAACCGCUUUCGCCUGUGACGAAGCGUGAGUGACGGUAAUGGGUAAAGAAGCACCGGCUAACUACGUG
rnacentral:rRNA from 1 species